GGGGCACCCAACAAGGACGGCAACGUUCAGCCAGUAAGCGUGAAGGCUGGCGACCGCGUGCUGCUUCCUGGCUGGGGUGGGAGCCCCAUCAAGGUGGGCGAGGAGGAGUACUUCCUCUUCCGCGACUCGGAGAUCCUCGCGAAGAUCCAGGAGUAGACGUGCUCUGGUUCGUGCUGGAUAUAGAGAGCGAGAGUGUCGGCGGGCGC
rnacentral:misc_RNA from 1 species